rnacentral:rRNA from 1 species
CAGCCGCCACGGUAAUACGUAGGGAGCAAGCGUUGUUCGGAUUUACUGGGCGUAAAGGGCGCGUAGGCGGCGCGGUAAGUCACUUGUGAAAUCUCUGAGCUUAACUCAGAACGGCCAAGUGAUACUGCUGUGCUAGAGUGCGGAAGAGGCAACCGGAAUUCUUGGUGUAGCGGUGAAAUGCGUAGAUAUCAAGAGGAACACCUGAGGCGAAGGCGGGUUGCUGGGCCGACACUGACGCUGAUGCGCGAAAGCCAGGGGAGCAAACGGGAUUAGAUACCCGUGUAGUCCCUGUCUCUUAUAA